rnacentral:rRNA from 1 species
GUCGAGAAUCUUCCGCAAUGCGCGAAAGCGUGACGGAGCGACACCGCGUGAUGGAUGAAGUCCUUCGGGGCGUAAACAUCUUUUAUAAAGGAGGAAAUUUUUGACGUUACUUUAUGAAUAAGGGGCUCCCAAUCUCGUGCCAGCAGGAGCGGUAAUACGAGAGCCUCAAGCGUUAUCCGGAAUCAUUGGGCGUAAAGGGUGCGUAGGUGGUUUGAUUAGUCUCCCGUUAAAACUUCGAGCUUAACUCGAAAAGAGCGGGGGAAACGGUCAAACUAGAGUAUGUGAGAGGUGUGUGGAACUCAUGGUGUAGGGGUGAAAUCCGUUGAUAUCAUGGGGAAUACCAAAAGCGAAGGCAGCACACUGGCACAUCACUGACACUGAGGCACGAAACCUAAGGUAGCGAAUGGGAUUAGAAACCCCGGUAGUCC